CCUGACCCUAGAGGCAUUCCAGGUGUGGUUGCAGUGUCACAUGCACAUCAGCAGGUGGCAGAGAGGGGAGGGGCUAUGUCUACACUCUGGGCUCUGCCCUGUGAACAUCUGAAUGGUUAGUAGCCUAACGUC